rnacentral:rRNA from 1 species
UACGUAGGUGGCAAGCGUUGUCCGGAUUUACUGGGCGUAAAGGGCGCGUAGGCGGUCAGCACAAGUCAGUUGUGAAAUCUCCGAGCUUAACUCGGAAAGGUCAACUGAUACUGUGUGACUAGAGUGCGGAAGGGGCAACUGGAAUUCUUGGUGUAGCGGUGAAAUGCGUAGAUAUCAAGAGGAACACCUGCGGCGAAGGCGGGUUGCUGGGCCGACACUGACGCUGAAGCGCGAAAGCCAGGGGAGCGAACGGG